GCUGGGUGUGGUGACGCAUGCCUGUAAUCCCAGCUACUGGGGAGGCUGAGGCAGGAGAAUUGCUUGAACCCAGGAGACGGAGGUUGCAGUGAGUCAAGAUUGCACCACUGCACUCCAGCCUGGGUGACAGAGUGAAACUCUGUCUCAG
ensembl:misc_RNA Metazoa_SRP Metazoan signal recognition particle RNA